rnacentral:lncRNA from 1 species
GCCUUAGAAUCCAUACCUUUGCCGAAGUUGAUGACUAGAUCUAGUCACUCCGAUGAUCCCAGAUAAUCCAAGUCGACACUAUGCCUUGCAGCUCCUCCACUAUACAAACCAUAAAAAGAUUAAAAGAAGAACCCAAUAAGGCCUAUACCCACAUUCGGCCACCUCUCUAACCUAUAGGGGUUUCGGAUUUUCUUAACCUCCAUAAUACCGAAUUGAUUAAGGCCAUGAGCAUUUACCAAGGUUCACCUACCCAAAUGAUUCCAAUCCGUGCUAACUCUG